GCUGUGAGUAUAUGUGACUCAUAAACUGCUGCUGAUCUCAUCUGUCCAGUGCCUGGCGUCCCAUGUUCAGCUAUCCCCAUAACUCUAGGGCAAGGGAUCCCUCCCUCACGAAUAAGACAAACAAAAGGAAAUUAAAACAAGCAACUUCUGAGGUCUGCUAAACCAAGUUCAAGUGAGCUGUCCACUUAGCGUCUGUUUAGGCCACUGCAAGGCUGCUUUCUCCCUACCCUGCAAGUCUGGGUUCCAGACACAGGAUUCAGCAAGCCCUGGCUGGCUCUCCAGCAGGCGCUCUUGAGAAUGUUAAGGGCUCAGCAGGCACACCGUGUU
rnacentral:lncRNA from 10 species